rnacentral:rRNA from 1 species
AUCCAUGGCCAUGCCACCCUGAACAAGCCAGAUACCUGAUCUCAGAAGCUAAGCAGGGUCAGGCCUGGUUAGUUCUUGGAUGGGAGACCGCCUAGGAAGACCAGGUGCUGUAGGCA